CCUACGGGAGGCAGCAGUAGGGAAUAUUGCUCAAUGGGGGAAACCCUGAAGCAGCAACGCCGCGUGGAGGAUGAAGGUUUUCGGAUUGUAAACUCCUUUUGUUAGAGAAGAUAAUGCAGGUAUCUAACGAAUAAGCACCGGCUAACUCCGUGCCAGGAGCCGCGGUAAUACGGAGGGUGCAAGCGUUACUCGGAAUCACUGGGCGUAAAGAGCGCGUAGGCGGGAUAGCAAGUCAGACGUGAAAUCCUAUGGCUUAACCAUAGAACUGCAUUUGAAACUGUUAUUCUAGAGUAUGGGAGAGGUAGGUGGAAUUCUUGGUGUAGGGGUAAAAUCCGUAGAGAUCAAGAGGAAUACUCAUUGCGAAGGCGACCUGCUAGAACAUAACUGACGCUGAGGCGCGAAAGCGUGGGGAGCGAACAGGAUUAGAUACCCCUGUAGUC
rnacentral:rRNA from 1 species